rnacentral:misc_RNA from 1 species
UGGUUCUGGCAUCGAUGAAGAACGCAGCGAAAUGCGAUAAGUAAUGUGAAUUGCAGAAUUCCGUGAAUCAUCGAAUCUUUGAACGCACAUUGCGCCCGCCAGUAUUCUGGCGGGCAUGCCUGUUCGAGCGUCAUUUCAACCCUCAAGCCCCCGGGCUUGGUGUUGGGGCUCGGCCCGUCCCUAGCGGCGCGCCGUCCCCGAAAUCUAGUGGCGGUCUCGCUGCAGCCUCCCCUGCGUAGUAGCUAACACCUCGCAACGGGAACUCAGCGCGGCCACGCCGUUAAACCCCCAACUUUCUGAAGGUUGACCUCGGAUCAGGUAGGAAUACCCGCUGA